rnacentral:ncRNA from 1 species
UGAUUCUUGAGAGGACUCACUCUUAGUACGAGAGGACCGGAGUGAACUGACCUCUGGUGUACCAGUUGUCGCGCCAGCGGCAUUGCUGGGUAGCUAUGUCGGGAAGAGAUAACCGCUGAAAGCAUCUAAGCGGGAAGCUCGCCUCAAGAUUAGGAAUCGUUAUUUAAAUCCGUGGAAGACCACCACGUUGAUAGGCUCAAGGUAUAAGCGCGGCAACGCGUUCAGCCGAAGAGUACUAAUAGAUUGA